AAGUAUUAUAUAUAUACAAAACAAGCCUUAUUCUUGACGACCGGUUUGGCCUAGUGGGUAGUGACCCUGCCUACGAAGCUGAUGGUCCCGGGUUCAAAUCCUGGUAAGGGCAUUUAUUCCAUGGAUAUUUGUUCCUGAGUCAUGGGUGUUUUCUAUGUAUUUAAGUAUUUAUAAAUAUGUAUAUAUUAUAUAUAUCGUUGUCUAAGUACCCUCAACACAAGCCUUAUUGAGCUUACUGUGGGACUUAGUCAAUUUGUGUAAUAAUGUCCUAUAAUAUUUAUUUAU